CCUACGGGUGGCUGCAGUGGGGAAUAUUGGACAAUGGGCGAAAGCCUGAUCCAGCCAUGCCGCGUGUGUGAAGAAGGCCUUCGGGUUGUAAAUCACUUUCAGUGGGGAAGAAAGCCUUGGGGCUAAUACCCUCGAGGAAGGACAUCACCCACAGAAGAAGCACCGGCUAACUCCGUGCCAGCAGCCGCGGUAAUACGGAGGGUGCGAGCGUUAAUCGGAAUUACUGGGCGUAAAGCGCGCGUAGGCGGUCUGAUAAGCCGGUUGUGAAAGCCCCGGGCUCAACCUGGGAACGGCAUCCGGAACUGUCAGGCUAGAGUGCAGGAGAGGAAGGUAGAAUUCCCGGUGUAGCGGUGAAAUGCGUAGAGAUCGGGAGGAAUACCAGUGGCGAAGGCGGCCUUCUGGACUGACACUGACGCUGAGGUGCGAAAGCGUGGGUAGCAAACAGGAUUAGAUACCCUUGUAGUC
rnacentral:rRNA from 1 species